CGCUCCUCUCGCGCUGGUCUUCAGGUUGCCUUAUGAGUUCCAUAUCUUCUCAAUUGCUUUCCAUUUUUUUAAUGUUAAUAUGUGCAUUUAGCUCUUAUUGGGCUUUUGGGUUUCAUUAGGUGUUUGUUCUGUUAGGGGUAUUGGUUUUCCUUAUGCUCCCUGUUCUUUUAGGAGUUAUCUAAUGUGUUUAAUGAAUUGGAUUGAAGUCUUCUAGUUAAAGCUUUCUAAUUUAUCGAGAGAUGAAUAACGGGUGAUGAUUUUCUAUUACAAUUCGAUCAUCUGUUUGGGUUUGUUUUGCAGGGAAAUUGUAGUUAGGAAAAUCUAAAUGAUGCUUGAUUUUCUUUAUUUUUCUUAAUUUCUCAUGUUUGCGAAUCAAUGACUUGGGAAUUGGUAUGAGAGCUUUUAUUGGGAUGGG
rnacentral:misc_RNA from 1 species